GCUGAACGUAGAAGAGGAAAAGAAGAAGAGGCAGUUAGAGGGAGUGGGUUACCGAAAGAGAAAGAGAGAAAUGAGAAGUAAGGAGAACUAUGAGAUCAAGAGACAAGGAAGAGAAGAGAGUUGAGCUGCAACCUCCAUCUACAGUAAAGAAAAAGGAGAAGUCACCAUUGAAGAAGCUAUAGCCAUCAUGGAAGUUGCAAAAUCAAGUUAAAAUUAGGGAUUCAAGUAUCUCUCUUUUGGAUAAAAUCUAAGAACAUGCAGAGGCCAUAAGCUGCAAUUAAGCUGUUUUGAGAAAAGUGCCUAUGGGGCAUAGCAGGAGCUGAAAUGGGACGUAAGCAGCGUCGAGACUUUAAAAAAAAUGUUUAAGUUUCCCAUAGAGUUGCAGCAACACAUCAUAUCGCAUAAGAGGGUGGUUCAAGCGAUGAUGAUAGAUAGAAGGUUUCUAAUUGCGGGGAGUGGCUUGCUGAACCUUUCACAAAUCAAGGUAAUAUUUGUGUGUUUGAUUUUAUAAAAAAUCUUGGUUUGUGUUUAUGAUGGGGAGUAAUAGUAGAGGAAAAGAUGGUGAAGGAACUUCUGGAAUUAACAGGGUUGAUGAUGAUGAUGAUGAUGAUGAUGAUAGUUAUGAAUAUUUACAAGAGAUGAAUUUUGUGCCUUAUGAAACACUUCUUCACAAUAACAUGAAUACCAAUGGUUUUGUAGUUCCCUUUGUGAUGCAACAGGCAGGAACCACUUGUGCUACAGUUCUAAUCCGAGCAAUAUUUACGGAAGGAUGCAAAUCAGUAGCAGCUGAAUGAAUGCAAUGGAUCUGAGGCGAGGUAUAAAUAUGGAUGUUGAUGCUGUUGUGACAAACUUGAAAAGCAGAGCACGAAUGAUUGACACUUCCGAAGAAAUAACUCAGGGUCGACUGAAGCAAUGUCUUUAACAAUUGUCUUCCCCGUCAAAGCACCAUUUCUCAAUCUAAGAAUAUCCUUAUCUCCAAAAUUAGAGAUUAAUGGAAGGUUAAUGAGAUUUUGUAGCUGGUCUGCUCGGUUGUUUUUAUUGUGUCAUUCUUCGGCUGUCAUGCUCAUCUGCACCGGUGUUUUUGCAGUGGUUAGGAUGGUUUAUGUGUCUCGGAAGUUGGAAUUGGAUCAAGCUGCUUGAGUGUUGUCCGAUACACAACAGUUGGUGAAAUACUUCUCUGCAAUCGCGGUGUAGUAGAAUCUACAUAUAUUAGGACUUUUGUUGGUAUCUUGAGAUGUUUAGGAUCUAAUUAUUCAAGUAUAUGGUGUGAUGUUAAUUGGCUUGAAUAAUUCUAGCUAUUGUUGAAUUUAAAUAAUUAAGUGAUGGUCCUUAUUUAGUGCCGUAACAUUUUGGGAUUGGCUUA